UACCGAGCUUUUCCUCGGCAGUUAACUGCAGCCGGAUUUCAAAUUCCUCGGCAGUUAACUGCCGAAGGGGCAA
rfam:Medicago truncatula strain A17 chromosome 5, whole genome shotgun sequence.